AUUGAACGCUGGCGGAAUGCUUUACACAUGCAAGUCGAGCGGCAGCGCGGGGCAACCUGGCGGCGAGCGGCGAACGGGUGAGUAAUACAUCGGAACGUACCCUGUCGUGGGGGAUAACGAGUCGAAAGAUUCCCUAAUACCGCAUACGACCUGAGGGUGAAAGCGGGGGAUCGCAAGACCUCGCGCGAUAGGAGCGGCCGAUGGCGGAUUAGCUAGUUGGUGAGGUAAAGGCUCACCAAGGCGACGAUCCGUAGCGGGUCUGAGAGGACGACCCGCCACACUGGAAGUGAGACCCGGUCCAGACUCCUACGGGGGGCAGCAGUGGGGAAUUUUGGACAAUGGGGGCAACCCUGAUCCAGCCAUUCCGCGUGAGUGAAGAAGGCCUUCGGGUUGUAAAGCUCUUUCGGCAGGAACGAAACGGUCCUUUCUAAUACAGAGGGCUAAUGACGGUACCUGAAGAAGAAGCACCGGCUAACUACGUGCCAGCCGCCGCCGUAA
rnacentral:rRNA from 1 species